rnacentral:lncRNA from 1 species
AAUCGGUUCCUUUGGCUGUGGUUGGUUCAUCUUGAGAGCUAUUGGAUGUGGUGAUGCAAGUAAAAUCUAAGUUUGUGUGCAAUAAAAAGCAGAGUAUGUAUGUAUUGUUUCCUACUACUGUGAUUGAAGAGAAUGUCCAUUGCUGCACCUAAUGUUACUCUAUAUAAAGUGUGUGUUGGCAUCUUUUGUAAAUUAUGCAUUAUAAUAAGAAAGUGUGAGCUUCAACUUUGUAAAAUACUUGUCAACACUAAGUAUAUCGUGUGGAAUGCCUUUCAUUCACACUUCAUCCGGCUGUGAAAAUUAUAGUCUUAUUAUUAUUUUUGUUUGUUUAUAAAAAUGAUAGUUUUUUCUAUUUCAAAAAUUUAUCUUUUAUAUUUUAAAUUUCAUUUCAUAUUUAAUCUACAACGAUAUAAAUAAAAGGUUAUUUAACUGUAAAAUGUACGCUCAUUGUUACUCAUUAAAUUCCGUCAAAUCUAUUGAUGUUUUGGUUUUAUUUAUAAUGGCACAUUUUUUUUAAACACAGAAAUUAAGAAACGUAUAUUAAAGAGUAUAAAAUAGUACUUCCUUCGUUCCAUCGAAUUUGAGGCGUUUUUUUUUGGUCAUGGAAUUUAAUGAGUUUGUGUUUAGUUACUUAAGUAAUGUUGAUAGAUUUUAGAUUAAGUCAUUAUUUAUAUAAUGAGUCAUCUUAAAUUAUUUUUAAUUACAAAAUUUAAAUUACAUAAUUUGAUUUUUGAUUUUAUUUUUCAAUUAACAUUUAUUUUAAACUUUUAUCAUUAAAUACAAAAUUUUCAGCUCUUUUUUAUGCCUGCAUGCCAGCCUCUUUAAACUUAACCAAAUCCUGAAAAGAACAACUAAAUUCUAAAUUGAAUUGAAUAAAAAGUGGCUGGUGUGAAAUUUCGAUUUCAUAGAAAUUCAGCCAAAUAUGGCGCCAAUAUUGACAUAGGCUUUUUUAGCCAAAAUUUUCAAUUUAAACUUCCCACCUAAAUACCACAAGCUAUUCCUAUAAAUACCAAACACAUUACACAAGAAAUGAACUCCUAAAAAUGUGGAAAAUCACUAAAAAUGCAGCCAACAUCACUCUAAAAUAUUGGAAUUACAGCCACCAUGGGGAAGAAGGAGUUGUCCACCAAGCAAAAGAAAUCAGAUGGUGCAAUUCAUUCUUCAAGCAAGCAUAAAUGGAAAAUCAUCUAGAGGCUCGCUUUUGGAGGCUCAAAUGAAGUUCUCCGUCUCAGGCCAAACGGCGACAAGGUUGUGGGCAGCUGACAAAAAAACAACAAGCAAGAGGAGACAUCAUUCAUCUUGUUAGUGAUAAUAAGACUAAAAAGAAAAGAAAAUUUUAGAGCUUAACAUCACAUUACUCUCUAGACUAGAAUACACAAAAAGAAGCACAAUUAGAACACUUGUUGGUUUAUGACACAAUAAGAGCACAGUUGGUAGAUGGGUAAAUGCAGGGUUGUUCAAAGCUCACACUUUAGCUACUAAGCCAGAUUUGACAGCCUCAAAUAAGCUGUUACAAAUGAGAUUAUCCCUAGAAGCCUUAGAAUUGAAUAGAAUACUUAACAAGAUCAUAUUUAGGAAUAUGCACAACAUAGUGCAUAUAGAUGAAAAGUGGUUUUCUAUCACUAAGGGGUCACACAGAUUCUACUUAGCCCCAGGUGAGGUGGAGNUUGGUAAACCAUAGAACUAGAGUAUUUGAAGGAUAAGAUUAGUCGAAGAAGUUCAAAAUUAAUUAAUCCAUCAAAGUAAAUUGUUAAAUCAACUUGGUAUUAAUUUUAUCUAUUUAUUCUAUCACUCAAAAGUAAACUCCCUCUUAAUGUUUACGGUGAUCUUGUUAGAUAGUUUGCAACAAACACGAUUUUCAUUGCUCGUCGUUAUUUUUGUGCUUGACAUAUAAGAUAUGAUGUGUGUGUUCUAGGUAAAAUCGGUUCCUUUGGCUGUGGUUGGUUCAUCUUGAGAGCUAUUGGAUGUGGUGAUGCAAGUAAAAUCUAAGUUUGUGUGCAAUAAAAAGCAGAGUAUGUAUGUAUUGUUUCCUACUACUGUGAUUGAAGAGAAUGUCCAUUGCUGCACCUAAUGUUACUCUAUAUAAAGUGUGUGUUGGCAUCUUUUGUAAAUUAUGCAUUAUAAUAAGAAAGUGUGAGCUUCAACUUUGUAAAAUACUUGUCAACACUAAGUAUAUCGUGUGGAAUGCCUUUCAUUCACACUUCAUCCGGCUGUGAAAAUUAUAGUCUUAUUAUUAUUUUUGUUUGUUUAUAAAAAUGAUAGUUUUUCUAUUUCAAAAAUUAUCUUUUAUAUUUUAAAUUUCAUUCAUAUUUAAUCUACAACGAUAUAAAUAAAAGGUUAUUUAACUGUAAAAUGUACGCUCAUUGUUACUCAUUAAAUUCCGUCAAAUCUAUUGAUGUUUUGGUUUUAUUUAUAAUGGCACAUUUUUUUUAAACACUAGAAAUUAAGAAACGUAUAUUAAAGAGUAUAAAAUAGUACUUCCUUCGUUCCAUCGAAUUUGAGGCGUUUUUUUUUGGCAUGGAAUUUAAUGAGUUUGUGUUUAGUUACUUAAGUAAUGUUGAUAGAUUUUAGAUUAAGUCAUUAUUUAUAUAAUGAGUCAUCUUAAAUUAUUUUUAAUUACAAAAUUUAAAUUACAUAAUUUGAUUUUUGAUUUUAUUUUUCAAUUAACAUUUAUUUUAAACUUUUAUCAUUAAAUACAAAAUUUUCAGCUCUUUUUUAUGCCUGCAUGCCAGCCUCUUUAAACUUAACCAAAUCCUGAAAAGAACAACUAAAUUCUAAAUUGAAUUGAAUAAAAAGUGGCUGGUGUGAAAUUUCGAUUUCAUAGAAAUUCAGCCAAAUAUGGCGCCAAUAUUGACAUAGGCUUUUUUAGCCAAAAUUUUCAAUUUAAACUUCCCACCUAAAUACCACAAGCUAUUCCUAUAAAUACCAAACACAUUACACAAGAAAUGAACUCCUAAAAAUGUGGAAAAUCACUAAAAAUGCAGCCAACAUCACUCUAAAAUAUUGGAAUUACAGCCACCAUGGGGAAGAAGGAGUUGUCCACCAAGCAAAGAAAUCAGAUGGUGCAAUUCAUUCUUCAAGCAAGCAUAAAUGGAAAAUCAUCUAGAGGCUCGCUUUUGGAGGCUCAAAUGAAGUUCUCCGUCUCAGGCCAAACGGCGACAAGGUUGUGGGCAGCUGCAAAAAAACAACAAGCAAGAGGAGACAUCAUUCAUCUUGUUAGUGAUAAUAAGACUAAAAAGACAAAGAAAAUUUUAGAGCUUAACAUCACAUUACUCUCUAGACUAGAAUACACAAAAAGAAGCACAAUUAGAACACUUGUUGGUUUAUGACACAAUAAGAGCACAGUUGGUAGAUGGGUAAAUGCAGGGUUGUUCAAAGCUCACACUUUAGCUACUAAGCCAGAUUUGACAGCCUCAAAUAAGCUGUUACAAAUGAGAUUAUCCCUAGAAGCCUUAGAAUUGAAUAGAAUACUUAACAAGAUCAUAUUUAGGAAUAUGCACAACAUAGUGCAUAUAGAUGAAAAGUGGUUUUCUAUACAAGGGUAAAACGUUCUUGCUUUCAGUAUACAAAUCCAACACAUAGGACAUGUAAAAGUAAGAAAUUUAUAUCCAAAAUCAUGUUUAUGCAUGCUGUGUAGACCCAUUUUUUCAGAAAAUGGAGAAUGCUUAUUUGAUGGAAAGAUUAGGAUUUUUCCCUUUACAAAGCAAGUACCAACCAAGAGGAACAAUAAGAACAAAAUUGCAGGCACACUAGAGACCAAACCUAUUGAGUCUAUCACGAAGGAGGUCAUUAAGGAUUGUUUAAUCAAUAAGGUAUGCAGUGGUACCAAUUUUUACAUUACUACAAAAUGUACUUGUAAUAAAACAAAGCUUUAAAUGCAUGACAACCAUUACACAUUACUACCAUGGUCACUUAUUGCUUAUUACGUACUGUUACAUCCCUAAAUAAAGCUUAAAUGCAUGGCAGCCAUUACACAUUACUGAAGGGUUGUAUACUGAAAGCAAGACUUUAUGCUUGUAUACAUUGAUUCCUUUGUUCACUGUGAUUCUUUUAUCUGAAAUAUUGUUAUUGCAUAAUUCUAUUAUAGUCCAAUUUAUCUCAUAUUAUAGAUUAUAUGGUGUGUUGUAGAUCACAGAAGAUCAUAUAAUUGGAAAAAGUUGAGAUAUAAAUUGAGUUCACAAUCGAGGCAACUGUGGACGAGUUGCUGGUUUAGAUUGUAGCAUAAAUGGAUAAAUAGUUUAUCUUGACUAUUUAUUUAUGCUAGUACCUUCGUGUAUUGAACAGGAUCACAGUGAGAUGAAUUCUUAUAUUCUGACUUAUUUAGAAUCAAGAUCUCGGUGACUUAAAUAGUCUUAACCUUAAUUGAAUUAAUUGUUGUGAAUAAUUAAUUGACUAUUGCUUUGAUUUAUCAAGGGUGAGAGUUCUAUUGAAGCUUAAUAUACUCGAUACUUUGGGUGAUAGCAAUUAUUAUUUGACAUGACGUUAUAUUGCAAUAAGGAUCCGUGUCCUGCUAAUAACAGGAUGAUAAUAUCCUCUUGAAUAACUCAAUAAGUUUAUCGUAUUAAACCCUGUAGGUGGAAUUAGUUCCGAUACAAUAAUAAGUUUAAGUGGUAGCACUCGAGAUGUCGUUUAUAAUUAAAUGACUAAUUAAUUAAUUAAUUGAUCGUAUUAAUGGAUAUUGGAUAUCUUAAACACGGGGAUUAAUUAUGUCUAAUGCUAGCCCCCGACUCACCUAAAGAAUAAAGAGGUAAUUCAGUAUUAAUUUUCUAGUGGAAUAAAUUAAUACUUGUGUCUCGAUUUUAUUCUGGGUUGAAUAAGAAAAUCGAGUGCUGGGAGGCCAAACUUUAUUCGAGCUAGUAGAUCCCUGAUUGGCCCAAUAAAGGCGUAAUUCCAUGGGGGCGUCCCUUUCUCAUAUUCUCUCUUUGGUUUUAUUUAGUUUAAUUAAGUUUAUGGGCUUAUUAUUUAGGUAUGACUAAUACCUAGUAUAAAUAAUAAUAAAGCUCUAAACCUAAUUACUUGAGCAUUAACGUGUACCCAGAAAAGAGAGAGUUCUGUGAGAGCAGAAGGAAAGAGGGAGACACCAAUCCUAGAAGUAGAAAGGACUUGAAGCUCGUUGCCAUCCAACGUCAAGUCUUGCCAUGGAAAACAAGUCGAAAGAUUCACUCUGGAGUCGCUCAUCACCGGAUUUGCAAGUAUGAUUCGUUCUCUUGUAAUAGGCACGUGAUUUUUGUAUGUAUUCGUUUGGUAUCCGGAAUUGGUCACGGGCACAUAAAUCAUAUAUCAAAAUAUGGUUCCUUUAAUUGGUAUCAGAGCCGUGGUUCCAGAAUUUCGGCUCUACUGGAUAAACGAAUAGUAAAAUCACUAGGUUUAUCAUUUUUUUGCCUGUUUCGUCGUUUUAUAGUGGAUAUUGUUUAUCAUUUUGGUUUUGACGUUUUGGCCGUUUUGCAACACGAGAAAAUUCGUGGUUAGGAUAGUUUUCCGUUGUAUUCGUACUUUUCUUUGUAUUUUGUUUGUAAGGGUCGAGACAACUAGAAUAUCUUGCUGGAGAAGAUGAGUGAGGCGGCAUCGAUGCAGCAGCGAGCGGCGUGUCUCUUCCACCUACUAGGGUUCGGCCACGGUGUGGUUUGUGAUGACCGUAAUCCGAUUCGCUGAGGCUUUAGUCUCGGCGUCUAUGGUGUUCGAUCCAGCCAUGCCAUUGGUCGGAGCAGUGUGUGGACGAGGGACUAUCGUGGCAACAGCAUCUGCCUUGGGUUGAAGCGGGAGUUUGUCGAAGACGACGAGAAUUACCAAAAGACGAAGAAAAUUCUUUUGUAAUAGAUUAUAAUUUCUUUCAUUUCUUUUGUAAUAAAGUAGGCAGGGAUGAACAGGUUCCAGUUUUCACGAUAAGACGAUAUUUNUUUUUUUUGUCGUUGACAGCAUGUCGUGGUAUUAAUCACCGUUAAGGUGUUUUGAGCAUGAUUUUAUUUGCAUUAUAUGUUUUCAAUGCGCAUAGAAUAUCAUGCUAGGUGUUAUCACGUUUUCACUAAGCACCAUUUAGAAUUCCAAGCGAGCAUGUUUUAUUACAUGUGUUCUAGAAAUGCAUGCUUAGGUUUUCCGUGUAGUCAAUGUGAUUUACCUUGCAAACCUUUUGAAGUAAGAGACUAAGCGGAUAAUUCAAUUUUAUUAUUAAAUUAAUAUAGACCUCCACAGUUGGUUUAAGACAAAGUAGAUUGAUAAUUGGUGUAAACGUCCACAUGAACGUGGCUUGCACUCUUUCUCAAUUUACAACUUUUGUCAGUUAAACUUCUAAAUUAAAAAUAUUUAAAUCUUGAGAAUAAGUGGGAGUUUUGCUUGUAAACGUUCACACUAUCGUGACUUGCAUGUAUUAAUUUCUGCGUGUUAUUCUGGAAAGGAUUAAAAUUAAUUAUUUUAACCUUGAGGAUAGUGGGAGCUUCUCGUGUAAACGUCCACACGAACGUGGCUUGCACGGGUUAGUUUUUCAUGGAUUAUUCUAGGAGGGGUUAAAAUAAAAGAUAGUCAUAAAGUUGACUAAACUAUGGUCAUAGCUUAGGCGUUUAUUUCAAGUACAACUCCCCAAUGGAGUCCCUUCUUGAAAUUGCGUGGUCUAGUCAAGGUCCGUUUAUUGGUCCCAUUUUGUCAUAAGGAUAAGUUGCAAUGGAAUGAGACCAAAGACUGGGUGUCUGGUCAAACGAAGAGCACGUAAACGUCCACACGAACGUGGCUUGCUUGUAAUUCGAUUGGGCUAACGGAGGUUUCAAUAAUAUUGUUUUAUCAAAAGGUUACAAUAUUAUUGCUACGAAUCUUUAUGCAAUGACGUGUUUUCUAAUGUGCGUCUGUUUGUUUAUAUUUCAGAUAUGACUGUUACCCCGCUUUUGAAUGUUUUAUCUGCUAAGCCGCUUACUGGUCUGAAUUUUUCGGAAUGGAAGCGCAAUCUGGGAUUUGUCCUAGACGCGGAGGAGUAUAAGUUUGUGCUUACUACUCCCGCUCCCGCGAACCUUCAUACUCGGUCUUCCGAAGAGCAAAGGGAGGCCCAUAAGCAGUGGCAUAGGGCGAAUAAUAUGGCGAAAGCUUAUAUUAUGACCACUAUGUCUUCUGCGUUGCAGCUGCAACAUCAGUCGUUGGAGACUGCAGCUGCAAUUAUGAGGAACCUCGAGGAGCUCUUUUGGGGAAUCGGUGAAGGAUGAUAGCCCCAAUAGGAUCGUUUCUUGGAUAUCUUAAUUCACCAUACAACGAUUAAUUCCUAACAUGCUCCUAUGAAUUUAAGUGCUGCACAUUGGAGUUAGAAAUACCUGAAGAAUUCCUAAGAAUUCGUCAAUUCGUCGCUGAACAGGUCAGCCAAAUUCAAGCCUUCGUUUGAAGCUUGAAACAUCCUCCAAUCGUAUUUUGUCCAGAAAUACGACUUCUUCCUUUUCGAAAGAGCUUUCCGUGACCACCUGUUUCGUCAAAAUCUGAGUUUUGUAGAGCAAGUUAUGGCCGUUCUUCGAAAACUAGCAGAACUUGAUUUCCUGCGAAAAUUUGACUCCAGCUCAGAUCUUCUGAACUUAUCCGCUCAACUCCCACCGUUGGAUGGACACGAGCUGUAGAAUUCCCAAGGAGAAACGGCCUUCUCAGUGGGCCCCUCUACUCCGAAAAACCCUAAUAUUCUGUCAGUUUCUUGAGAGCAGACAGCUGUAUUCAAAGACAAAUACAGUCCUUGGGGCGCCAGAACUGUGAUGGGCGAAUUCUCCAGCUAGGGCAUAGGAGACUUUGGGCUAGUCCAGGGACCAGAUACAAGGAAUAAAGAUGGGCCUCAAAUGAAUUAAUUUCUAUGAUCAGCCCAUAUCAUAAUUAAUUCAUAAGUAUUAAUUCAUUCCACUAGAGAAUCAAUACUGACUUACCCUUUUAUUGCCGGUUGUUUACCUUGUUUCUUAGUGUUAUUGUUGAGUUGUGUGAUACACUUUCGAGCAUGCUUUGUGCUUUUUCGUGCCGUGUUAUUCUUGCCCGAGUGCUGUUUGCUGCUUUUUCUUGUUGGUGCAGGAUUCCAGAGUUUGGGAAGUUUUUCGUGAAGUUGUGAGCGUUUUUGGAUCAAGAGGCAACUAACGGGACAACUGCUGUAGCCAGAGGCGGCCGCCUUCUCUAGGCCACCACCUACUUCUAGGCCACCGCUUUCUCUAGGCCACCGCCUACUUCUAGGCCACCGCCUACUUAUAGGCCUCCGCCUUCUCUAGGCGGCCGCCUACUGCGUGUUCUGGUAGUUACGAAUUUUUUAGUUAAAACCCAUCUCUAGGGUUUCACUUUAUCAUUCUCGUCUCCAGCAGCCUCCAUAGGCGAUUUUCACCUCUUUCUUAAGGUUUUUAGAGUUCCACAACACUUACUUUCAAUCUUGGAUUCAUUGGAUUGCUUUGGAUGUCAAUUAACACUUCAUCGGAUUGGUUUUCCGUGGAUUGCUAUGUUUUGUAAGAACUCCCUUUGAUUCUCUUUGUUUAUGAAUCCCUUGGUUAUUUAAGUCUUUGUUUCUUGUCUUUAAUGAAUAUGAUAAUUGAAGAUUAUUGUUGUUGAUUCUAUAUUCUCUUGGUUUUAUGAAUCUUUUGGUUAAUUGAGUUUUGUGUUUUAUGUAUUUGAUGAAUGUGAAGAUUGAAGUUCAUUGUUGUUGAUUCUAGAUUCUCUUGGUUUUCUAAAUCCUUUGGUUUAUUUGAAUCUUUAUUUUGUGUUUUGAUUAAUAUGAUGAUUGGAGAUAAUUGUUGUUGAGUUUAGAUAAUCUACGUGAUUCGUAGUUUGUUGCUAUUGUUUACCCUUUUCCUUUCUUGUUGAUGAAUAUUUAGAGAUUUCUUUUAUGGAGAUUAAGAUUUUCUUGCAUUCGAAUCUUAUGCUUGAUUGAGUUUCUUGCCUAGGUAGUUAUUAAUCUUUGAUGUUUACAAGUUUAUGAUCGUUUGGUUUAGUGUUGGAGUUGGAAACUCUAGUUGAUUUCGUUAAUGUUCAAAUGCCAUGUUCUAGUUAGUUCGUCGUUGAGUUGCUUGCGAAAUUCUCUUUGAUUGUGUGUGUUUGCUUAACAUUCAUUUGAUUAAAUGUUAAUAUGUUAUUUCGCCUAGAUAAUCGUUGUUUAUGGUGUUGAAUUGAUGAUUGCUUUCUAGAUUGCUAGUUUAGAACCCUAGCUUUGUUUGCCUUCUUGCAUUCUUAUUGGCUUGCUAUCUUUUGCCUAGUUAACUUUAUAUGCUUUAUUUUAAUUACGCAUUAGUUAAUCGGAGAGAAAGUGUCAGACCCAAACUUCUGAUUAGAGUGUUUAGGUUUAUUUCAUGUUUUCUGUGCGUAGCAUGAUCAAAGCCCUGUUUAGCCUUCCUUGAGAGACGACUUGGGUUAGCUUAUUACACUAGGACGACCUCGUACGAUUGCGAGUCAAUCCAUUAGGUGUUUUGGGUUGAGUCAAAUUUUGGCGCCGUUGCCGGGGAAGGCUUUAGGCAUUUGAUUGUGUUGCAUUGUUUUCCGUGUUUAUUUUUGUUUAUUUCUUUUAACUCGGUUAUUUUCUCCCUCCGGUGCGUUUGAUUUGUUUGUUCGUGUUGUGUAUGCAAGGACGCAAAAGCUUGAAGAGAAAGCUUGCACCUUACUACGACAUCAUUCAUCGACCUCGUGAGGUCCUUUCAAGCCUGGAGAAGGAGUCCGAGUCCAGUUCGAGAAGCCUUGUGGAAUCACAGUUUAGUGAGGAAAACUGUGAAGAGAGAAUUGCUUCCAAUCCCAUUCUGGAAGCCGUUGAGGAGACACUUUCCGUGCAUUCUGAAGAAGAAGAAGAAGCUCGGCCCAAUCCUGACCAAGAAGCAAUGGCGGAGCAGAAUGUCCAGUACAUGGGAGAUUUUUCCAGGCCAGUUAUUGGGACCACUAGCACUUCUGCGAUAGUGCUUCCCACGGCGGUCCGGAAUUAUAAUCUGAAGCCCAACGACUCAAACCUGCUGCCGCUCUUUCACGGGAUGCCCAGUGAGGACGCCUUGCAGUUCAUCCGUGAUUUCUGCACCCAAGUGCAGACCUUCCCACUGCUGGAGCUCACCGGGGAUCAGUUGAGACUCAAGUGCUUACCUUAUGCACUCAAGGAUCGGGCGAGAACGUGGUUAUUGUCCUUGCCGCCGAACUCCAUCACUUCAUGGGGAGAGGCGUGUGAGAAGUUCAUGCUCAAGUACUACCCCAAUCACAAGACACAGGAGAUUAGGAGCCAGAUAAUGAACUUCAUGCAAGGAACUGACGAGCCUCUCCACGAGGCUUGGGAGAGAUUCCAAGAGCUCCUCCGCCAGUGCCCACAGCACCAGUUAGCACCCGUCAUGUUGAUGCAGUUCUUCUAUGACGGGUUGAUUCAGACGGCACAGUUUAUGGUGGACAGUACAGCAGGGGGCAACAUUGCCCGAAAGACAGCUGAUGAGCUCAAGGAGAUCUUCGAAACACUCGCCGCGAGUUCUCAACAGAAAUCAGUUAGAGGAAGGAGGGUUGAAGCCAAUGCAGUAGCUCCCAACAAUGAGCUUCAGAAGCAAGUAGCGGACUUGAUGAGGCAAGUACAAAACCUCAGAAUGAACCAAGCAGAGGCCCCACCAGUUCACGCGCCACCAGCAGAAGGAUGUGGCAUAUGUGGCGAUUUUGGUCAUGGAACCAACGCAUGCCAUCGAAUGGGGGAAUUCACACCAGAAGAAGGAGCAGAAGUAUAUGCUGCUCAGGGCUAUCCGGGGAGGCCUCAAUUUGAACAGAGGCCCAUCUUUAAUCAAGGGCAACAAAGCUCCAACUCGGGUUGGAGAAAUGAGCAGAAUUCGGGAUGGAGGAACCAAGCUCCUGGCCAAGGGUCGGGAUCAAACCAAGGCAAUCAGCUCCCCGACCUCCACAGCAAAUGGGGUAUCAGAACCAGCAGCAGUUCUACCCAUCUCAACAACAGCCCUCAUUUCCUCAGCAGCAGCAUUACCCUCAACCAUAUCAGCAACAGCAGCCACCGCAGUAUCAACAGUACCAGCAGUUCCCCAUGCAACCACCGAUGCAGCAAGGGCAAUUCCAGCAACUGCAGCAGCACCAGAAUUCACCUCAACAGUUUCAAAAAGUAGUUCCAGUGCCAACCUAAAAGCCAUCUCUCGAGGAUACUAUGCAGUCCUUUAUGGAGAUGACCAAACAGAGCAUGGAGUCUCAGUCUGCCACUAUCAAGCGUCUUGAGACAACCGUUGGGCAGCUCUCUGGGACCUUGAACCAGAUGCAACAGCAGCAACAACCAGGGAAGCUCCAUGGCCAAGGAUUACAGCCCCACCAAGCUCAAGCAGACACUGUCUUACGCAGUGGAAAAGUGGUGAACAACAAAGUGGAAGCCCCUGUGGAGAACCCCCAAGGAAGCCCGCAUGGAGGAGCAAGUAAAGGAGCCACUGCAGCCAAGAGAGGAGGAAAAGGAGAAGGAGUCCGAAGUGAAGCUCACAAGGCUGCCAAGCCAUAUAAAACACCGGUCCCUUACCCGAGCCGGUUGAAGAAUGAGAAGCUGGACCAGCAAUUCACCGAUUUCUACAACAUGUUNUACAACUUUUGUCAGUUAAACUUCUAAAUUAAAAACGCUUUAAUCUUGUGCAUAAGUGGGAGUUUUGCAUGUAAACGUUCACACUAUCGUGACUUGCAUAUAUUAAUUCAUGCGAGUUAUUCUAGGAAAGAUUAAAGUAAUUAUUUUAACCUUGUGAAUAGUGGGAGUUUCUCGUGUAAACGUCCACACGAACGUGGCUUGCACGGGUUAGUUUUCAUGGAUUAUUCUAGGAGGGCUUAAAAUAAAAGAUAGUCAUAAAAUUGACUAAACUGUGGUCAUAGCUUAGACGUUAAUUUCAAGUACAACUCCCAACGGAGUCCCUUCUUGAAGUUGCGUGGUCUAGUUAAGGUCCGUUUAUUGGUUCCAUUUUAUCAUAAGGAUAAGUUGACAAUGGAAUGAGACCAAAGACUGGGUGUCUGGUCAAACGAGGAGCACGUAAAUGUCCACACGAACAUGGCUUGCGUGUAAUUCGAUUGGGCUAACGGAGGUUUCAAUAAUAUUGUUUUAUCAAAAGGUUACAAUAUUAUUGCUACGAAUCUUUAUGCAAUAACGUGUUUUCUAAUGUGUGCUUGUUUGUUUAUAUUUCAGAUAUGACUGUUACCCCGCUUUUGAAUAUUUUAUCUGCUAAGCCGCUUAUCGGUCCAAAUUUUUUGGAAUGGAAGCGCAAUCUGGGAUUUGUCCUAGACGCGGAGGAGUAUAAGUUUGUGCUUACUACUCCAACUCCUGCGAACCCAACUACUCGGUCUUCCGAGGAGCAAAGGGAGGUUCACAAGCGAUGGCAUAGGGCAAAUAGUAUGGUGAAAGCCUACAUAAUGGCCACUAUGUCUUCCGCGUUGCAGCUGCAACAUCAAUCGAUGGAGACUGUGGCUGCAAUAAUGAAAAACCUCAAGGAGCUCUUUGGGGAAUCAGAUCGGUCAGUCCGUUUUGAACUCAAGAGGAAACUUAUGUCUUCAAAGAUGACGGAGGGUUCUUCUGUGCGUGAGCAUGUGCUCGGAAUGAUUCAUCAUUUCAACGAGCUAGAUCUGCUUGGUAGAGGUAUCGCGAAUGAUACUAAGGUUGACAUGGUCCUCCACACUCUGCCCAAAUCCUAUGAGAACUUCCAUCUCAAUGCCGUCAUGGGCAAGAAAAAGUUUACUCUAAAUGAACUGCUAAAUGGGUUGGAUGUGGUCGAGGGGUUUAAGGGAAAGAGUCCACAGGCUCUGGCAACUGCCAAAGGUCCUAGCUUUGCACCGAAAGGUGAAAAGAAGCAGAAAGGGCUCCAUGGCAAGAAAGGCCAAGCAAAAAGUGGGAGCAAGAAGUUAGGCCCGACCGGAGGUGUUGGUAAGCCAAAGAGGAAAGGAAAAUGCUUCAAGUGUUAGCAAGUAGGACAUUGGAAGUAUGACUGUCCCAUGAUGAAGAAAGCUCAAGGUAAUUCUACUGCUUUGGUAAUUGAAACAUACUCAGUUUCGAGAUCUUCCCAUCAAGUUGUUGACUCGGGUGCAACUGAUCAUGUUUGUUACACCUUGCAGGGGUUCCUACGGACAAGAGAGCUGAGUAGAAGGGAGCUUGCACUCUCCAUGGGAAAUGAAGCAAGCUUGCAUGUUGUUUCAAUUGGAGAUGUGAAUUUGUUUAUUGAUGGACAUGUUUUAGUCUUGAUGGAUGUACUUUUUAUUCCGGGUUUUCGGAAAAACUUGAUUUCUACCAUUCAAUUACGCAAGUAUGGAUAUUCUGUUCUUUUGGAAGAUAGUGCAGUAUUCAUUAAAGAUGGUCAAGUUUAUUUAAAAGUGCGGCAGAUUCUCUCUAUACUUUUAGAUGUCCAUUCGAUUAUUCUUCAUCUGCUUAUACUUUGACUACAAACCAAAAGAAGAGAAAGGCUUCUUCUCUAGAGAACCAAACUCUUCUUUGGCACCUAAGAUUGGGUCACAUCAAUCUAAGGAGGAUCCAAAGAUUAGUUUCCGAUGGUAUCUUGGAGUCUCUCCAAGUAGAACCAAUCCCAGUCUGCGAAUCCUGCAUAGAGGGAAAGAUGACGACUCAGCCUUUCAAGGCCAAGGGGUAUAGGGCCAAAGAAGUGUUAGAAUUGGUUCACUCUGACUUGUACGGAUCCAUGUCCACUCAAGCUCGUAGAGGGUACGAGUGCUUUGUCACUUUCAUUGACGAUUACUCAAGGUACGGGUACAUUUACUUGUUACGCUACAAAUCUGAAUGCUCUGACAAGUUUUAAACAUUCAAGGCAGAAGUAGAGAAACGAUAAGGUAAAAGUAUCAUGUCAUUGCGAUCUGACCGCGGUGGCGAAUACCUCAGUAACGAGUUUAGAGCAGAUUUGUUAGAAUCUGGGAUUACAUCUCAAUUGACUACACCGGGUAAAUAGAAUGGUGUGGCAGAGAGAAGAAAUAGAACUCUUCUAGAAAUGGUUCAUUCGAUGAUGAAUUUUGCUACUCUACCUAUAUCAUUUUGGGGAUACGCCUUGGAAACGGCUGAUUACAUUCUUAACUUAGUGCCUUCUAAGUCGGUUGCAAAGACCCCGUCCGAGCUGUGGUCAGGGCGCAAGCCUUCUCUUAACCACAUCCGGGUUUGGGGUAGUCCAGCACACGUGCUGAACAAGGAUACCGAUAAGUUGAGACCUGGAACUGAAGUAAAGUUAUUUAUAGGAUAUCCUGGAGGAACGAAAGGUGAAUAUUUUUAUUGUCCGAAGGAUCAGAAAGUCUUUAUUAGUACUAUCGCAAUAUUCUUGGAAGAGGACUAUGUAAAUAACCACAAAAGUAUCCAUUUCCUCGACAGAUUCAUUCUUGAGCAUGAGGAAUGAGUCGAACUUCUGGCAAGCUAUGGAUAGCUUAUUCUCCUUGAUUUCCUCGGAACCUACGCACAUUCUUUCCAGAAUGUCCCACAUCUCCUUUGCAGUUCCGCACUUGAUGAUCUUCAUGACAUGCUUGUCGGGAACGGUGCCGGAGAUGAUGCUUUUGGCGAGGUUGUCUAGCUCAUCUUGCUUCCUUUCUUCUGUGGUGAAGUCUACCUUUUGCUUGGGCUGGACCUCAUCGUAAGGAUAUUGUUGUGGAUCAACAGGAACCUUCUUGACGAUUUCGGUGAUGGUGAUUGGUCCGCUGGUGAUGACUUCCCACAUUCGGCAAUAUUGGGCGGUGAGGAAACUUUCAAGCUGAAACUUCCAUAUGUCGUAUUUUUCAAUACUAAACAUAGGUAGAGAAGAUAAUCUUCUGUGGUUAGUCUCCAUCAAAAAAGAGAGAACAGAUAACAGCAGAUAGAACAGAUAGCAGGCACAAAAAGAAAGAGAACUUUUUCGAGACCUUUGAGAAAAAGGAUCUAGUUCAAUUAGAACCUAAUCAGAUACAACCUACUCUGAUACCAAUUGUUAGGUCCAGAGGGUCUCGAAUAGGUGUAUGGGGGGGGGGGAAAUACACCUAUGGGCUAUUUUUCAAAUCCUCAAUCAGAGGGAUCUCAGUCAGAGAUCAAAACGAAACUUUGCAUGCAAACACAGACUCCUGUUUUACUGAAAACAGUUUUGACCAAGCAGGUUUGACGACUGAUACUGAAAGCUCUUCAGUAAAGAGUUAUCAGUUAAGUUGCUGGAACUUAACUGAUGCACGUAAGGGCUUCAGUCGUGUUUGCUAAGACAGAGAUGAUAACACUCUUCCUGACUAUCAAAAGAUAGAUCAGUCAGACUGAUAUCAUACGCAGCGGAAAUUAAACUUAGUUUCGCAAUAGCCUUGGUGGAGCACGUUGUUGGUUGUUAGGUUACUCUUUGCAGUUAAUCAGUGUUCAGUUUAUCAAUUGAAAUAACACAAGUAAGAAUGUAAAACUGAAAGCUGUAAACAACACAGAGACUUUUACGUGGUUCGGAAAAACCCUUUCCUACAUCCACGGUUGGUUGAUCAGACCAACAAUCCACUCCGCAAGUGCUUAACAGGUGCACUGCAAACUAAACCGUGUGCUUGCCGGGUGCACACAACCGUACCACUGAAGAAAACCCUUCUUCAGGACCCACGCUUCACUCGCGUCGGAUUUCUCUGCUCAGCACAACCCGUGCUAAGACUUCUCACUCAGAGUCAGAGUACCUUGCUAAACUCCGAAUCACUCAAACACUCUUUUGGGGGGAGGUUUGAACGAGUGCCAACUUCACUACAAAGAACAAGUUCUUUGAAGCAAGUUUGACCUUUGGCUUCUAGGUAAACAGAGGUUUGCCUAAGGUCUAAGAGAAUACGUGUAAUUAGCAGUGACUGACUUUGGCUUUGGAAUUCUCUUCUUCAAUUCAAGCUUUGAAAUCUUGCCAACUAAACUUCAAAGAACAAGUUAUUUGGAGUUAGUUUUGACCUAGGCUCUGGAUAAACAGGGGUUUGCCUAAGGUCUAAGAGAAUGUAUGUAAUCAGUAGUGACUGAUUUUUUGCUUUGGUAUUCUCUUAUUCGAUUCAAGCUUUGGGGAGGUUAAUCUUUGGCUGAGAAAUAAUUUCGGCAGAGCUUCAGCUUAUGUCGUUGAAUCGGUGAAGGUUGAAGUGAUCCUCGAGCGCUAUUUGUAGGAGAACUCUUGAAUAGAUCCGUUGGCGUAGAACGUCAUCAAGAUUUCUUCCGUUGGAGAGCAAUUCAAAUUUGGGCUGAGGCUUCAAUCUGGGUGGAAACGGCUCUCUUGAUGGACAGGAGAUGUGACGUCUCUAAAAAGUAACCACCAGAUAGGAAUGACCUCUGCAGAGAUAAGGAUAUCCUGAGAUCUCUGCAUUUAAUGCGGCUGUACUUUGUGAGUACGUGGCUUCCUCUGAAUGUUGGAAGAUCAGUCCUACGAGGAAUGUUCAACUGAUACUUGACUUUAGUAUCAGUCCAUUGCGCGCAUUAAGUAAUCAGUCUUCAACUGAUACUUCAGUUGGUAUCUGCAGUCUUCAGUUUUCAGUCCUUCGUUCUUCAGUCUUCAGUCUUCAAUCUUCGAUACCGCAAGCUAAACUAGAACCGAACUCUAACUCUUGAGUUCAAAGCAAUUCUAGUCUAUUACAAUUAAGUCCUAUGAAUUUUGGUAUCAUCAAAACAAGGGUUAGGAUAUUCCACAAGUGUAAAGCAGAAACCAAUUAUGUUUAUGUUUGGAGGUGGAACUAUUGUGUGGAAAAUUGUAAAGCAGAAACACAAUUCACUAUCCACCAUGGAAGCCGAGUAUGUAGCUUCUAAAGAGGAUGUAUGGCUUAGGAACUUCCUAACUGAGAUUGAUGUGAUUCCUAGUUUGCUGAAGUGAAUCACAAUUUAUUGUGAUAACGAGGCUGCUAUUGCGAAUAGCAAGGAUUCAAGAUGUCAUCAAUCCAUGAAACACAUUGAUGGCAAGUAUCAUUACAUUCGGUCUGUGGUCAAACAUGGUGAUGUUGCAUUGAUGCAUAUUGCGGGAGUUGAUAAUCUGACUGAUCCCUUCAUGAAGAGUCUUCCUGGUGCGGUAUUCAACAAGCAUGUUGAAGGCUUUGGAGUUCGUGACCUCCCUAUACUAAAUUAAACUUUAGUAUGAGUGGGAAAUUUUAUAAUAACUAGAGGAUAUUAUCAGUUUAUCAGUCACAUUGUAUAUUAAAAGUUUGCUUUAGUAUAAGUGGCAGAAUUGAAGGGUUGUAUACUGAAAGCAAGACUUUAUGCUUGUAUACAUUGAUUCAUUUGUUCAUUGGGAUUCUUCUAUCUGAAAUAUUAUUAUUGCAUAAUUCUAUUAUAGUCCAAUUUAUCUCAUAUUAUAGAUUAUAUGGUGUGUUGUAGAUCACAGAAGAUCAAUAAUUGGAAAAAGUUGAGAUAUAAAUUGAGUUCACAAUCGAGGCAACUAUGGACGAGUUGCUGGUUUAGAUUGUAGCAUAAAUGGAUAAAUAGUUUAUCUUGGCUAUUUAUUUAUGCUAGUACCUUCGUGUAUUGAACAGGAUCACAAUGAGAUGAAUUCUUAUAUUCUGACUUAUUAAGAAUCAAGAUCUCGGUGACUUAAAUAGUCUUAACCUUAAUUGAAUUAAUCGGUGUGAAUAAUUAUACUCGAUACUUUGGGUUAUAGCAAUUAUUAUUUGACAUGUGGUUAUAUUGCAAUAAGGAUCCGUGUCCUGCUAAUAACAAGAUGAUAAUAUCCUCUUGAUGAACUUAAUAAGUUUAUCGUAUUAAACCCUGCAGGUGGAAUUAGUUCUGAUACGAUAAUAAGUUUAAGUGGUAGCACUUGACUCAACCUAAAACACCUCUAGAUUGACUUGCAAUAGAACAAGGACAUCCUAGCAUGAUAAGGUGACCCAAAGUCAUCUCUCAAAGAAGAUUUUACAGGGCUCCUAAUUGUAUCACGGCAAAAGCAGUAAAGUUGUUGUUGAAAACUGUAAAAUUAAACAAACACUUGUAAAUUAAACUUAACGUUAAAUUAAACUCGGAAUUAACUAGGCGAAAUACAAAUACUUAAGCAUAAAUAAAUUAUUAACCCUAGGCAGAAUUAAACGGAUAAAGUAAAGGUGAGUUAAAUUUAAACGCUACAAGGCUAAGAAUUUAAAUAACUUUAAUUAAAAGCUUCUAAUCUAAUUUGACACAAACGAAAUUGCAUAAUUGAAAGCAAAACAUAAUUCAUAACGAUGCAAAGAAAUUAAAGUAAAUACGAAAUACCAUAAAAUAUUGCGAGGAUGAAAUUACUGUCACUUGAUUACAACUUCGAAAUGGAAAACAUAACUAGAAAACGAAGAUGAAAUCUAACUAGAACAAAAAUCUUGAAAACUUGAAGAACAAUGAAAACUCGAAAACGCUAAGUGUUUUGGUUGCUUGACGGAAGAGCAAUAAUUCCCAAAGGCAAAAGAUGAUUUCUCAUGAUGAACGUUAAGCCCUUUAUAUAGACUGCCAUUUCAUCAACCCUAAAAAUCAUCAAGAACGGCCCAUGAAAACUAGGCUUAAGAGAUAGAGUCGUGACAGCAAAGGAAAGUUCAGGAUUGGAAAGAGUGCUCGGCAAGUAACAACAGCGCUGGCGAGUGUUAGCCAACUCUGGAGCAGUACUGGCAGCCUUGCGCGUGAUUGCCAGCGCUGGAAACUGUCAACUCUGGACACGAAGUCAGUUCUGGAAUAUUCAGCUCUGUAGAAUUGUAGUCUGCUCUGAAUAUGUACUCUGCUCUGGAGAUGUAGUCUGCUCUGGAGAUAUAGUCUGCUCUGGAGCUCAGCUCUGUCUACUUUGGUCAGCUCUGGAUACGGUGAGCUCUGGAUAUGGAUUGUCAGCUCUGGCUAUGGAACGACAGUGCUGACGGUCUUGUCAGCGCUCACAAGGCAGCAGAGUAUGGCACCACUUUGAGCCUAAAUACGCACUUUCUGAACAAAAUCUCCAAAAUAUCAUUCUUUCUCCUAUUUUAUCAAAAUCUCCUGCAACACAUCAAACAAACUCAUAAACGCACCAACUUUCAGAAUAUUUAACUCAAAUAUAGCACAAUCAAACCCCCAAAUUAAGAACAAUUAGGCAUAAAUCAGCACUCGAGGUGUCGUUUAUAAUUAAACGACUAAUUAAUUAAUUAAUUGAUCGUCAGAGGAAUUAAUUAAUUAAUGGAUAUUGGAUAUCUUAAACACGGGGAUUAAUUAAGUCUUAUGCUAGCCCUGACUCACCUAAACAAUAAAGAGGUAAUUCAGUAUUAAUUUUCUAGUGCAAUAAAUUAAUACUUGUGUCUCAAUUUUGAAUAAGAAAAUCGAGCACUGGGAGGCCAAACUUUAUUCGAGCUAGUAGAUCCCCGCUUGGUCCAAUAAAGGCGUAAUUCCAUGGGGGCGUCCCUUUCUCAAUUAUUUUCUCUUGGACUUUAUUUAGUUUAAUUAAGUUUAUGGGCUUAUUAUUUAGGUAUGACUAAUACCUAGUAUAAAUAAUAAGAAAGCCCUAAACCUAAUUACUUGAGCAUUAACGUGUAGCCAGAAAACAGAGAGUUAUGUGAGAGCAGAAGGAAAGAGGGAGACGCCAAUCCUAGAGGUGGAAAGGACUUGAAGCUCGUUGCCAUCCAACGUCAAGUCUUGCCGUGGGAAACAAGUCGGAAUAUUCACUCUUGUAACACCCCGCAGUUUCUUUAUUACUUUUUUUUAAGUUCGCUAUUAAGAGUAUUGAGAUACUGACAUUAGCUUAUUAAAUAGGCGGCCACGGAAAUCUCUUUCGAAGACGAAGAAGUCGUAUUUCUGAGAAAAAUACAAUUGGAGGUCAUUUGAGGGGUUAAAGGGAGUGUUGAAGUUGACUGACCUGUUCAGUGGCGAAUUGACGAAUUCUUAGGAAUUCUUCAGGUAUUUCUGAACUCCUCGGUGCAGUGUUUAAAUUAAUAAGAGCAUGCUGACAUGCACCCAUCGUGCGGCACGAUCAAAAUACUUGUGUUCACCCUAGACGGAUGAUACACGCUCCUACGUCUCGCAACCAGAAACAAGUCUUAGUGAUAAGUAUAGGGUCGAAUCCCACAGGGAGUGAGGAACCACUUUGUUCUCUGACGACAAACUGAGGUGUCACUGGUCUCAAUCUAUAUACUCUGCACAAGAAAUUAAACAAAGAUCAAUAAUAACAAGGGGGUGAGGUUGUUCGGUUAGGUCAUAACUGUUGUCAACAUUUGUUUUGGUCAUAGGCACACUGAUCAUCCUUCCAUGAUCCAUAUAAACUCAAGGCGUGUCCCAAAGACAUUGGGGCGUUUCAAGAGGUUAUACUUCACACUUAGGAUGGUUGAGUCCAUUGUAAUCACUUGGUACGAAGGUCAAACAAUCCCCGGUCACAAGGAUGUGCUUCAUUUCUCCUUAGAUGGUAGUCAUACCCGUUAGUCACCAAGUAUGACCCUCACCAACCUUCUCUCCCGAGGUCCCCAACUCUGCACUUUGAGUGACACAUGCCUCCUGGACACAACCAUUUCUGGCUUGUUAGCCGACCAGUCAUAGACAUGCUACGGCGCAGAAGUUACCUUCCUCGUUUGAUAACCAUGGCUUUAUGCCUCGUCACAGUUGAUGGAUUGUCUCUAGAGAAGCCCAAGACUGGGGAAGGACAGUGUAUCCCAUCAAUCCUUUCCCCACCUUCCGGAUCUACAACGCCUUUUGUUGACGCUGCUCAGCUACUCAGUCGUGGGUAUACUGGUUGUCACACCCGGGUAUCCCCUGGCCUUUGCUUAACACGGACAGCGUUUUACCAAACAGAGAUCACCCGUUUGGCCCCUACUGUCCAUGAUUUCGAACAGAUCCUUCCGAAACCACGAGACUCAACCGAAAGAACAAAUGCCUCAUGAAUGUUUACAUAUUGACAACAAUUAUUUCCACCCCUUAAACCUCACCAAGGAAAUUAGUCACACAUAGCAGAAAUCAUAAAUGCAAAAUGAAUUGAACACAACAUAUAACAAAAUGGAAAUGCUUUAAAUAAGAGAAAUAAUACCUAAGGCCACGAGCCUUACGAUCUUGUUCUUACUUGAAUUGAAAACGAAGUGAUAAAAUACUAGAAAUGUAAAUUGUUUUUAAUGCCACACUCGGCAGAAUUUAGAGUAAUAAACUAAAUAAAAUAAGAGUUCAGUCGGGCCAAAAAGCUUCUUCACGCAGCUCGUCUUCACACUUUUAUACUGCAAAACGGUGGAGGGCUAACCCUAGCUGCGCCAACUUCAUAUCUUCAUCGAGAUCUUCUUUCCUUCUUUAGCGCAAUCCUUGAUUGAUCCGAUUGGAGAUAUCUUCCAGCUGCAUGCUGUAGUCAACCUUCACCUUUUUCCAGAUUCUUCCAGCUCCUUCUCCAUUCUUCCGCAUUCUUCCAUCAAAUCUUCGGGAUCCACUUUCCUUUCUUAGCUUCGGCUGUCUGCUUUUCCUUGUACUGGUCAGACAGAUUGCUUCACUCGGUUUGACUCAUACCAGGUGGGGUGCUUCGGGUUCCCAUACCCUAAGUUAGACUUGAGAGGUACUGCGCCUAGGCUCCAUGCUGGUAAUCAUAACAUUGCAAUCUGGGCUUGGUAAUGCCCAUUCCAACCACAUUUCUUCCGUUUCCGCUCCACUGGGCCUUCCUUCCCUAACAACAUUAUUUUCCCCUGGACGGACUUGAACUGACACAAACAAAAGAGAAAAACAGGGCCAAAUGGCCCAAAAGUCGAAGAUGCAUCACACCUACACACUUAAACCAUACUUUCCCUCAAGUAUGUAGGUGGAUUCACAGAAGACACGGACGAAAAGAUGAAAGGAAAGAAAUAAAGACUUCAAGACACGAGACUUGCACAAACUUCAGGUUCAGAUCAUAUCAACAUGCAUCAUUCAGUUCAGUCGAAACCACAAACCAGAGAGUAAUGAAUAUGCAUAAAGUGCGAUAGUAGCUUCUCUCUCACUCAAGUACAUAGCUAAGUGUAUACACUCUUACUUUGCUGUACCAGUUCUUCUAUGAGUUUGAUUGAAAACUACAAGUAAAGCACACUAGCAUGACUCAUCAGAGGGGCUUUCAUUUGGUUGUAAUGGGGCAUACGGAGCAAAGGUGAGAUACAUAUAGUUAAGUGGCUAAUUCAGUAUCACCCAUGCCCAACAUAUAUAUUUAGUAAAACCACAACCAACUUUUUCUUCCCCCUUUUAGUAGGGAUCAACCUUUCUUCGAUUUUUGGCAACUUUUAUCAUCAAUUUUUUUUUGUGCCCAGAUUUUCUUUUUUCUUUUCAAUUCCUUGUUUACCAUUUCGUGCAUCACAAUAAUUCUUCAUUUUAGAUAUAAUCUUAUCAACAAAAGGGCUCAAGAAAGAAUAAGUCCGGCUCAAAUUGGCAUAACAAGGGAUUUUAUCACAUUUAUCAACAAAGAAAAUUCUGAGGCCCUAAUCAAAGAAAUGUGCCCUAAUCAUGCAAGUCAUCAGUAGCAGUAGAGGUUUUCAAACAAAAUCCAGAGUCCCUAGUACAGCAAAGUCUCACCAAAAAUAUGCAAAUUUUCACAAGUACGGCUCUGAUCUCACUAGUGGGAUAAUAUCUGUAAGCUCACAACUACUAUCAUGCACAUCAUACUCAUCCACCAAAUUAUGCCAUAACCAAAAUCAGCAUGCAUACUUGACGAAGCCGUCGUUUGAGCUUCGCGCAAAUAAAAUAUCAUGUGCCCAUAACUAGACUAGCUAGUGGUAAGUCCAGAGUCGAAUCCACAGGGAACUGAGCAGUAACUUCUCCUGCAAGGGUGUCACUAAAAAGGUUUUGUAUUCUGCAGUGUUCUGACCACAACGUGCUUAUGGGCAGAACGGGAUUUCCAACUAAAACUGAAAUACAAAGGUAGAUAAAUCAAAUAACAAAACAAUUCUGACUUGGGUUCGAAUCACUAAACAUGAACUAGACACUCGAUCAUUGGUGCAAAGAUAAAUUACUAUAUUCGCAUACCAGUGGUUAUAGGCAUAAGAAUUGUUGCGCCCCUAUUGUCACUCGUCACGCACGCAAAAACCCCUCGCCCAAUCUAUCCUUUCAGUUUAUGAUCCCUUAGAAGGGUCAGCUAAUGGAAAUCAACUACCCCGGGCAACAUCCACGCUCUCUGCGAUGGUCUAUCGCUAGUUGUGCUUUGCUUAGAAUGCUUUAAGCUCUAGAUAGACCCACUUGACUCUUACUGUCGCAGCCCGAUUCCCAAACGCUAGUAAUAGCGGGGUAUGAGUAUCGAUACGACUAAAAUCAAAGAAUAAAGGACAUCACAAUUAAACUGAACAUCAGCGGAAGCUUACAUCAAAACACGCAAAGGCAAAGCCUCAAAACUCGACUCGAGGGUAUAUUCGUCAACAUCGUUCUAACUUCUUGAAUGUUAGGAAUUUCAAGAAGAAAAGCAAAGUAGGUACUGCUCAUUUUCCAUAGGGAAACAUAAAAUCAAGAGUAUCGCAGCAGAAAGGCGUAUCAAUUAUAUGUAUGGAGACAUAUAAUCGCGAGUAUAUUGCUUGAUUAGGAAGGAAUAAAGCAUCAAUUCACUAAUGUUUUAUCAACAUUAGAAGGAAAACAAAGUACAUCAUUCUUAAGACUCUAACAUCGAAGGAAAACAUCAGAGGAGCUUCAUCAACGAAACAGUCCCCGCCAGCACCAGUCCAAUCUCGCUCCAGAGCUUAGCCUGCACAUUUAGAAAUAUAUGCAGGGCGUGAGUAAUAAUACUCAGUGGGCAAACGCCGGAAAAACAUCAAAGGUGCUCUUAGAGCUAUAUGUUUGGAACUUGCCAUAACAUCAGCAAAACACAGAAUUAAGUUAGCAUCAAAGAAUCUGUGCAUGCAGUUUUCAUAAUCAUAACAUCAUAAAGAAACGAUAGCGCUAUCAAAGUAUUCAUCAUGCAUGUACCACAUCUACAACUUAUCAUUUUAUCGGUACUGAGAAGUAGGCCUCCCUCUCAAGUACCGUGACUGGCCGACCCGAAGACGGCUCACAGUCACCUCUGUGUACACAACCCCGCUUGCGGCAGGAUCCGAAUUCGUCUCAUCAGUAGAGGGUAACAUACAAGCUCAACAUUAAAAUUUGGCAAGUCAAACAGUUCUUAAACAUCAUUUAAGUCAAGAUUUGAUAAACUCGUAAAUAUCAUCAUUUUAUUUCAAGAAGCUCAUAUGAUAAACAUAUACUCAAAAUAUUGCCCACCUGGAGUCCUUUGCUUAAGCUCGGAUAGGAACAGGUGACUUACUUCUUUGUCUCGCUUGGGUCUUCAGGAAUCAUCAACAUCAUCACGAAAGUUCAUGUGAUAAAACAACCUUAGUUAGUACUCAAUACUGAAAUCCAAACUCGUCUCAACAAUAACUUUUCGCUCAACGCCUAUUUACUCAGAAAAACUAAAUCCCUAGGCAUACUCAACUUCUAAGGAUUCUCACGUCUUACUCUCGACUUAACUCUCAACUCGGACCAUACUCAAACCAAAAGCACAUCGGUACACAAUCACAUAAGCAUGCAACUUCACAUAUAAACAUAUCACAAACAAUCAAACAUAAGUUGACUCGGAGACCAGAGCAGAGAAAUGCUCGGUGGUCAAGGUGAAAAACUCAGCCGGGCGGAGCGGAGCAGCUCGGCGAAACAGCGGAGAAAAUGCUCGCCAGGGCAGAGGAAUCAACUUGCCCGAGCAGCGAAGUCAUGAACUCUCUGGCAGAGCAGCGGUGAAAUGCCAGAGGAAUGACGAACUCUCUGUCGCCAGAGGACUCAAACGUCAGAGGACUCAAAACUCAGAGGGCUCCAAACUCAGAGGACUCAAACUCCAGAGGACUCAAACUCCAGAGGACUCCAAACUCAGAGGACUCAAAACUCAGAGGACUCAAACUCAAGAGGACUCCAAACACCAGAGGACUCAACUUCAGAGGACUCGAUCGUCAGAGAAAUCGAACAUCAGAGAAAUCGAAAUCGGAGGAAUCGAUCGUCAGAGGAAUCGAUUUCAGAGCAGCGAAGUCACAAUGCCAGAGGAAUCAAAGUGUCAGAGCAGAGGAAUGACGAACUCUCUGGCAUAACAUCGGAGACGUGGAUUCGCUGGUCAGAUCAGCGGGGAAAUGAACUCUCUGGCAUGCCAGCGGGGAAACGACUUCUCUGGCAUGCCAGCGGGAAAACGACUUCUCUGGCAUGCCAGCGGGAAAACGACUUCUCUGGCAUGCCAGCGGGAUCACAACUCGGCAGAGCAAAACUCAAGGCAGAACAAAACGAACAAGAGUAACUCUAACUCCAUCGACUUUUCAUACCCAGAAAUCAUCAAACAUCACAUUAAUCCUUUCAUCUAUUCAUGCUCAAGACUCAGUUUUGAAAAACACCUCUAAAUCACUCAAAUCAUCACGUAUAACAUACAUCUCAUCNUGGUGUAGUUGUAGAUCUACAGAAGACCAUUAUAAUUUGGAUUAACCUUAAGAGAUAUAAUAUGAUCACAGCCGAGAUGACUUUAGGACGAGUCAUCGGUUUAGGCUGCGGUAUAGAUGGAAGUAGUUUGUCUUGACUACUUGUCUAUACUGGUACGUCAUAACGUAUUGAUAGGACCACAGUGAGAUGUAUUCUUCUAUCUGACUUAAGUGAAGAAUCAAGAUCUCGGUGACUUAAUAAAAUCUUAAUACUAAUAAGAUUUCAUAUAUAUAUGUUAAUUCGUGUAUCACUUUGAUUUACUAUGAGUGAGAGUUAUAUAGUAACUUAAGUACUCUGUAUCUUGGGUGAUAGCGGUUAAUAUAUGAUAUUUGAUUAUCUGUAUUAGUACCCGUAUCCGGUAUAGGAUAAUGACACCCCUUAAGGAGCUCAAUAAUGUUUAUUGCGCUAAACCCUGCAGGUUGAUUAAGUUCAGGCGCAAUAAUAAGGUUUGAGUGGUACUGCUUGAGAUUAUAAAGAUUAAUUAAUUUAAGCUGUCAGAGCUCUAAUUAAUUAAUGGAUGUCGGAUAUUUUAAAUACGGGGAUUUAAUAAGUCUAAAUACAAGCCCCGACUCAACACCGGCAAUAAAGGGGUAAGUCAAUAUUGGUUUUCUAGUGGAAUGAACUAAUAUUUAUAAAUUAAUUAUGGUCUGGGCUGACCAUAGAUAAUUAAUUUAUUUGAGGCAUCUUUAUUCCUUGUAUCUGGUCCCUGGACUGGCCAAAGUCUCCUGCCCAAGAAGAGAGAAACAGCCUCCUACACCUAAUCUGCGCCUCCUAUGUGUUUAUUUUAUUAUAAAUACAACUGUCAGCUCUCAGGAAAACACACUGAUAAAAUAUUAGGAUUUUGGAGAGCUGCGGGGCGCAGGGAAACGUGUGGAGCUUUAUUUCUCUCUUGGGACUUUCAUAGAACGUUGUCCAUCCAAGGUGAAAGCUGAGCGGGUACAGUUCAGAAGAUCAGAGCUGGAGUCAGAUUUUUCGCAGGAAAUCAAGUUCUGAGUUUCAGGAGAACGGCCAUAACUUCCUCACAGAACUCCGAUUCACGAACAGGCGGCCACGAAAGCUCUCUCAAAGACGAAGAAGUGUAUUUCUGGCAAUACGAUUGAGGGUUGAGGUCAACGAGUUGAAGUGCUGCUGUUCACCAUUGACGAAUUCUUAAUUCUUCAGGUAUUUUCUGAACUCCAACGUGAGUUAAAUCAUAGGAGCAUGUUAGGGAUAAUCGUUGUAUGAUAAAUUAAUAAUAAUCCAAGAAACGAUCAUCGGGCAAACGGAGCAUUAAUUCAGUUUAAUAUUCCUUCAGAAGUCACAAUGCCAGAGGAAUCAAAGUGUCAGAGCAGAGGAAUGACGAACUCUCUGGCAUAACAUCGGAGACGUGGAUUCGCUGGUCAGAUCAGCGGGGAAAUGAACUCUCUGGCAUAACAGCGGGGAAACGACUUCUCUGGCAUGCCAGCGGGAAAACGACUUCUCUGGCAUGCCAGCGGGAAAACGACUUCUCUGGCAUGCCAGCGGGAUCACAACUCGGCAGAGCAAAACUCAAGGCAGAACAAAGCGAACAAGAGUAACUCUAACUCCAUCGACUUUUCAUACCCAGAAAUCAUCAAACAUCACAUUAAUCCUUUCAUCUAUUCAUGCUCAAGACUCAGUUUUGAAAAACACCUCUAAAUCACUUCAAAUCAUCACGUAUAACAUACAUCUCAUCACAUAUAACUCAUUUCUCACCCCAUUUUUAGAAAAGGAUCAGAAAGAUUUUUGAAGGGCAUGAGCCCAAAUUUUCGAAAAUGGCGAAUAAAGUGAAGGGGGAGUUUCUCAUGCUUCAGUCAUCCUUCUAAACACAUAUAUCACAUAAAAAGUCUAGAUCCCAAAGGAUUCAAACACUUACUCAGGUAGUUCAAGAAAAGGAAAGCUUCGGUCUCUAUUCUUCAAGCAUCAAAUUCCACUAAACUUCUUGAUUUAUGAGUAGUAAGUGUUUAUGGACUAGAUUUAGUGGAGGAUUCUUUCUCGGUUUUGACUGGUGAAGCUUCGAGCUUAGUCUCCAAUGGAGGAGAGAAGAAAUGUCUUGAGGGAGAGAGAAGAAGUUGAAAGACCGAAAUGAGAGAAAUGACGGAGAGAGAGAGAGAUGUCGUUUACGGUUUUAUCAAGAUCCUUAUCCCAUAAGAUAAGUAGCAUUUAAUGCUCAAUAGUAGUUUGUCUCCUCCCUUAGCAGCAAGCCUAAUUCGGCUAAUUACCCACAUGUGAGAAGGGAUUAAAAUAGUGGGUGUGAGUGUAGGAACGUGUGGUGGUAAAUAAAUCAUGUACGCUAAUUUUCGAGAAUCAGACUGACUCAAAAUAAUAUUAGUGCGCACAUAUCAGAUAAAUCACAUAACGUCACUUAAAUAACUCACACCGUUAUCACAUUAAAAACGGAUCAUCACUCAUCAUCACUCUAACUUAAUCCUCUUUAUAGUGAUUCAGAAUCACUACCUCGACUCUAUCUCUCGUCUUUUAUCUCAACAACAAAAAUCAAUUAUCAUCUCCAUCUACAAAUCUAACAUCAUUCUCUAGUUCUAUCAACAUCUCUACUUUACUCGUCUCGCCAUUCAUCGGCAACUUCCUUGACUCUAUGUCAAACUCAUUAUUCCUAUUUCCUUAAUAGGACUGUCAACCUCUGAUAUCUCGGUAUCCGGAAAUUCUAUUCCCGGUAGUCGGAAAUAAACAAAAUCCUGACUCAAAUUAAUCGGCAUCUAUAACUCGACUCGUUUCUCUAAUCUCUUCACUCUAACUCCAUCAUGAGUUUGUCCACUCAUAACUCAUAAUCUUCACAUCUCGACAUCUCAGUAUUCUCAGUAGUGUUAAAACACUAUCUCUUAUCAUAAGGAAAGGUACGGGGUGUUACAUCCUACCCCCCUUAAAAGAAAUUUCGUCCCGAAAUUUGAGUUAUUCAUCUCCGGGAUAAAGCUCUGGGUACUUUUCUUUCAUCUUCUCUUCAAUCUCUGGGGAAUACAUUCCCGUUAAUUCCAAGUAGUCCAUCAAUGUGACUAUCAAUUUCUUCGCUCUUUAGUCAUCUCGAAUUUUGUGCUCCGUAGCCAUUCGAGGUUAUUGGAGAUUGGCUAUUUUGUAACUGUUGCUUUAACCAUCUGUUUACAAUCAUCUUUUCUUCACGUUCCCAUGUUGACUCUUCUUGACCGCGAUGUCUCCAUUGGAUUUUCACCAAAGGAAUCGACUUGCUCCUCAAUUGUUGGAUCUUCUGGUCCAGUAUAGCAUCAGGUCUCUCUCUUCGUAGUUCAAAACUGGUUCCAGGGACUCUUCUUCCUGGGCGACGGGUUUUGAAACAAACAUCUACUUUCUCAGUUGAGGAACAUGGGAAAACGUCUUGAACGUUCGCGAAGCUCGGAGGCAACGCUAAUUAUAGGCUACUUGGCCUACUCCUUCUAAUACAUCGUAAGGCCCUAUAUAUAUAUAUAUCUCGGUUUGAGUCUUUCUAUACUCGAACUAACACGCUCCCCGAGAUUGGGAAAACUUACGUAAACAUCAUUUCUAACGUCAAAAGAAUCUAUCAGUGAUUUCUCAACUAUCGAAUCUUCCUUCUCUUGAUUUGCUAAUCGGUGUCAUAAUCAUAACGUGUGAUCUCGCUUCUAUUGUGGAAGUCUCUAACAGGUAAAAUGGUAUGAGGCUGCCAAAGUGGCGCCUACACGUGUUAAAACAUCGAACAUCCUUCUAUUAAAAGUGCCAUCACUUGCUUCUCAUCUCUAUUUAAAACGUCGUUUCAGUCUUGGCACGUAUUCAUACUUUCUCUGUCAGAGCAGCGAAAUCCUAACCAAAGCAGCGAAUUCGUAAAACCAGAGGAAUCGGAUGCCAGAGCAGCGGAAUGAAACGUCAGAGAAAUGGCUUCCGCUCUGGCGCAGACAUCUCAUCUCGUCAAAACUUACGUUUAUAUCUCAGUGCUCUAGUCUUAUCAAAAGUGUAACUCAAAUGCUCAAUAUCUCCUCUAUUUAUCAUCAUAACUCCAUCUCAUCUUAAUAAAAAUCUCAUAUCUCAGUACCGUAGUACUCUCUGCAGUGUCUCAACACUACUAUAACUCAUAAANNNNNNNNNNNNNNNNNNNNNNNNNNNNNNNNNNNNNNNNNNNNNNNNNNNNNNNNNNNNNNNNNNNNNNNNNNNNNNNNNNNNNNNNNNNNNNNNNNNNNNNNNNNNNNNNNNNNNNNNNNNNNNNNNNNNNNNNNNNNNNNNNNNNNNNNNNNNNNNNNNNNNNNNNNNNNNNNNNNNNNNNNNNNNNNNNNNNNNNNNNNNNNNNNNNNNNNNNNNNNNNNNNNNNNNNNNNNNNNNNNNNNNNNNNNNNNNNNNNNNNNNNNNNNNNNNNNNNNNNNNNNNNNNNNNNNNNNNNNNNNNNNNNNNNNNNNNNNNNNNNNNNNNNNNNNNNNNNNNNNNNNNNNNNNNNNNNNNNNNNNNNNNNNNNNNNNNNNNNNNNNNNNNNNNNNNNNNNNNNNNNNNNNNNNNNNNNNNNNNNNNNNNNNNNNNNNNNNNNNNNNNNNNNNNNNNNNNNNNNNNNNNNNNNNNNNNNNNNNNNNNNNNNNNNNNNNNNNNNNNNNNNNNNNNNNNNNNNNNNNNNNNNNNNNNNNNNNNNNNNNNNNNNNNNNNNNNNNNNNNNNNNNNNNNNNNNNNNNNNNNNNNNNNNNNNNNNNNNNNNNNNNNNNNNNNNNNNNNNNNNNNNNNNNNNNNNNNNNNNNNNNNNNNNNNNNNNNNNNNNNNNNNNNNNNNNNNNNNNNNNNNNNNNNNNNNNNNNNNNNNNNNNNNNNNNNNNNNNNNNNNNNNNNNNNNNNNNNNNNNNNNNNNNNNNNNNNNNNNNNNNNNNNNNNNNNNNNNNNNNNNNNNNNNNNNNNNNNNNNNNNNNNNNNNNNNNNNNNNNNNNNNNNNNNNNNNNNNNNNNNNNNNNNNNNNNNNNNNNNNNNNNNNNNNNNNNNNNNNNNNNNNNNNNNNNNNNNNNNNNNNNNNNNNNNNNNNNNNNNNNNNNNNNNNNNNNNNNNNNNNNNNNNNNNNNNNNNNNNNNNNNNNNNNNNNNNNNNNNNNNNNNNNNNNNNNNNNNNNNNNNNNNNNNNNNNNNNNNNNNNNNNNNNNNNNNNNNNNNNNNNNNNNNNNNNNNNNNNNNNNNNNNNNNNNNNNNNNNNNNNNNNNNNNNNNNNNNNNNNNNNNNNNNNNNNNNNNNNNNNNNNNNNNNNNNNNNNNNNNNNNNNNNNNNNNNNNNNNNNNNNNNNNNNNNNNNNNNNNNNNNNNNNNNNNNNNNNNNNNNNNNNNNNNNNNNNNNNNNNNNNNNNNNNNNNNNNNNNNNNNNNNNNNNNNNNNNNNNNNNNNNNNNNNNNNNNNNNNNNNNNNNNNNNNNNNNNNNNNNNNNNNNNNNNNNNNNNNNNNNNNNNNNNNNNNNNNNNNNNNNNNNNNNNNNNNNNNNNNNNNNNNNNNNNNNNNNNNNNNNNNNNNNNNNNNNNNNNNNNNNNNNNNNNNNNNNNNNNNNNNNNNNNNNNNNNNNNNNNNNNNNNNNNNNNNNNNNNNNNNNNNNNNNNNNNNNNNNNNNNNNNNNNNNNNNNNNNNNNNNNNNNNNNNNNNNNNNNNNNNNNNNNNNNNNNNNNNNNNNNNNNUUUCUCUUUUACCAACAAGAUUGGUGCUUCCCUUAGGGAAACACUAGGUCAAAAGAAACCCAUAUCUAGUUGUUCUUGGAGUUGCAGCUUUAACUCUUGCAACUCGUUGGGGGCCAUUCUGUAUGGCGUUUCGACGUCGGUGACGUGUCGGGCUCUAAAUCAAUCGUACCCAAACUGUCGGUCUGGGUAAUCCCCAUAAGAUCUUAGGGUAAUAUUCUCGCACGUCUGGCAUCAUCAACGUUUGCUUUGGAUUCAUCUCUCUGACACAGAUAUACAACGUACGCGAUUGUAUCAUUUCUCCGCAAGAACUUUCUUGCCUGCAGUGCCGAGAUGAUCAGCAUCUUCUUCCAUUUUCUCUCAAUACCAAUGAAGGUAGUAGGUUCUUGGCCAGAAAACUAAAACGACAUCCGUCUCUCCUUGCAUUGUAUCGUCACAUGGUUUUUCUCUAACCAAUCCAUUCCAAAAUUAUAUCUAAAUGCCACACAGGCAUCAAUCUCAAGUUUCUCGCCUCAAACUUAAUCGAUCUCAACUCAAAUUCUAAGUCAGGCACGCGGAUGAAACCAUAGUGGUUCAGCCUAUAGGUGCGAUUACUCUUUAGAGGUUGUGGAACAGGCUCUUCGUUCGGUAUCGAACAAAACUAUGGGCACAUCCUUCAAUUCGUCUAAAUCUGAAAAUUUUUCCUUGAUUUUUGUCCGAUGCUUUCUGCUCAAGCGCGAACAGUCUCUGUUGAUGCGGUUGAUCCGCCUGCGGAACUGGUAGUUGCCGUUGUGGUGGAGGUAGCGGUAGAAUUCCCUUCCUUGCUUUGUGUUGUGGUCGAACUGAUUCGGUCGUCCUCCGCUUCCACUUUGCUGACGAUUCGGACACUGUUUCGCAUAGCGCCCGAUCCUUCCGCAGGUGUAACAGCUAUUCUGUCUCAUCUUACAUCAUCCCAAAUAUAAUUUAUCGCUCUUCGACAAAGCGACAUCCCUCGUGAUUCUUGAAAGUUUACUGCUGCUGAGGCAGUUGGGCCAACAUCAUGCCGUUUGUUUCAGUUCUGAUAUUGUGGUGGCGCAUUCUAACUCUGCCACGGCUUCUUAAGGCCUUGACUUCGGUCAUCCCAUUUUCUCUUUCCUUCUUGCCCUCGUCGAGAAAAGAUAGAUGGCACAUUUAAGUGCUCUAACUCAUUUGGGGUGCUAAAGCUCAAAUCGCGUUCUCUGGCUGCAUUGCCAAAUCUACAUCAAAAUGCUCUAUUUAACCGCACUCUGACUCGUUUAAAUCGUCUCGUACUUCUUAUCUCAAACCUGAUCGAAACAAUUCUGACAUCUUCUCGUUCAUCUCUUCUCGAUAUGUGGCACACCGAACCAAGUCGCGAAACUGACGUUCGUAAACAGCUACGGUUUUAUGCCUUAUCUCAUAUCAUCAACUCUAUUUCUUCCUUCAAUCGAUUUCUCUUUCUCGGCAAAGUCUAAGGGGACAUGUAUCAACCUUAGAACUACUUCUCAUACUCGCAACUAUCAUCAGACUCUUACUCAACAUCAUACUAUUUCUUUCUAUUCUUAUAACUCAUCGUCAAAGACAUACUUUAUGUCUAUCAUCGUAAACAUCAGUCAAAGUUCUUCUCAAGAAUAAGGACUCUCUGGUCAUCGUCAUAUAAACAUAUCAGAAAAUUUUCUCUUUUGAGAACUCUUACCAAAUGCGGGGCAUAACGGAAAUGAAAUAUCCCGUAAUACUAUGCCGUUGCUACUUCCAUACUAGUCGUCAUCUCAGUCUACUAUCGCGGAAAACGUCAUCUGUCCCAGUCUGUCAUCUCGAUCUCCUUGUAUCUGCUAUGGCCUAUUCUGGCUUAGCAUUACUUCUUCUCAUCCUCGAAAUAAUUAGCUCUCUACAUACUUGGCUAAUAUAAGAAAAUCCAUAAUCGAACUGUUGUGCUCGUCCCGUAAUAAUAUAUUCUACGACUGCUCUCAUAACUCGUAUUCUCUUCCAAAUACUCUUCUUGUAUUCCAUCCUAGCUACCUAGACAUUCCUAACUCUUGUCGGAUGUAGUAGGGACUAGGAGGUAAUGAAUAAAAAUGUCUGAUCUUUGAACAAUCUUUGAACAAGACGAGCUCAAGUGAUGGAAUGAUUCCAUAAUAGCCAGUGCUAUCUCAAGGAUAAUGAAGAAGUUAAAAUCAAAGGAAGAUCAAAGGCUAGAACAGAAGCUAAGAUAAAAACUGAGGUAUGAUAUGAUGGGGGAAAAUCAAUACUGGAAGUAGAAACAAUCCACUACGUGGAAAAUGAAUAAAUCGUCCACUGUUAAAACAAGGGGUAAGGAUUCCCAAUACAAACGAUUUAGGCUCGAACACAGUGGAUCUGCUCACUAGCAAUUUGUUCAUCUCAUAUAGGAGUUCAAAUGGAUGCAGAAAAAUUUAAUAACGACCAAGCGGGAUAAGGACUCAAUAAGUCUACUCUCUCGAUUACUCUAGCGAUGAUAACGCGCGAUCCCGGUGACAGUACCUCUAUUACGAAGUACAAUUGGUCAAAAACAUCUAUGCAUCCUAUAAGAUCUCCAUAAUACGUUCACCCUAGUAGGGUCGUAUCUAUAAAUCGCGAUGAAAACUCUAAUUCUUAUCGCAUUAUCUCAACUAUCUCUCUCUCUGCUUCUCUUCUUCAUCUUCAUCUUCUUCUCGGUUUAUGUUCCUUCCGUUCCCUCUUCUUCUAGGUUUAUGUUCCUUCUGUUCCCUCUUCUUCUCGGAGGUAUACUAUUGAAGGAAAAGAAUUAUAUACUAACGACUUCAAAACUAGUCAUUUGUCAAAACAUAAUACUAAUUCUCUUUUUGUCAACUCAAUUCUAUAUUUCUCCUAUAGAAUUCUCACGGUUCUCGUUAUCUCUAUCGUUCAUCUAUCAUCCUGCAUCUAAUCAUCAAUCUCAAAAUUCUAAAGUGACAUCAAGCUCUCUAGUCAGCAACGUCACCUCUAUAUAAUAGGGAAACUUGCCUCUCUUUUGAGGUCUUACUCAAGCACGAAGGUUCCUUGUUCAUAACGCCCUAUACUAUAAUGAUACUCUCGCUAUGCAAGCAUCAUAGGGACUAAGCGUCAUAUAGGUUCCAUACCAUACUUCUAGCUAUGUACAUCGGCUAUGCAUCCCUAUAUAAAUACACACAUCUUCAGAUAGUCUCGAUCGUCAUCGUCAACCUCCAUAUCCUCACUCGGCUCUCCAUACGGUGAUGAAGGUGGCUCGCCAUAAGUAAAGUAGCGGUGGCUCAAAGUUGCGAUGAAGCCACGGAAAUUGGUGCUCACGAAAUGCUCGAACUCAGUCCUCAGGAUAUGUUGCUGCGCCAGUGAAGCCGCCCAUUCUUACCACUCGGGUGGCAGCUGUGGAAUCUAAGCGUAAUGGCCUCUGCGCCAUCAAUCUCGUAGGGAAAAGCUCUCUUCCAUCGUUGGUGAUAGUAUGCCAGAAGUUCACCAAAGGUGUCAUCCUCGUCCGAGAUAUACUCCCUGAACCAUCGCUACAUCGCUUGUCUCAAAAUAACUCGGCAUCUCAUCCUCGUUUGGUACGGUGGGGCAUCGGCUAUGCUAGCCUCAACAUCUCUCCUCAUCUUCCACACCAACUUCCUCAUAUCAGAAUUCAUUAUCAUCGACAAUUUCGUCAGCAAAACAAUACAUAACUCAUUAGUACAUCAAACUCAGUUCUCAUCAGAAAAGCGAUAAGAAACAACAUCAACUUCUUACCUCGUUAAGCCGGAGGAGAUGGUGUGCUGGGGUUUUGUUUCAACUGACUCUCAAACCAGUCUAAGAACUCAAAUUAGACUAGUACUCAAUCUAAAAAGAGUAGAAGCAAUCAAAGGUUCGACUCAAUCAAGCAAUUAACUCAGAGCAGACAACCUGCUCUGAUACCACUCUGUCGCAGCCCGAUUCCCAAACGCUAGUAAUAGCGGGGUAUGAGUAUCGAUACGACUAAAAUCAAAGAAUAAAGGACAUCACAAUUAAACUGAACAUCAGCGGAAGCUUACAUCAAAACACGCAAAGGCAAAGUCUCAAAACUCGACCCGAGGGUAUAUUCGUCAACAUCGUUCUAACUUCUUGAAUGUUAGGAAUUUCAAGAAGAAAAGCAAAGUAGGUACUGCUCAUUUUCCAUAGGGAAACGUAAAAUCAAGAGUAUCGCUGCAGAAAGGCGUAUCAAUUAUAUGUAUGGAGACAUAUAAUCGCGAGUAUAUUGCUUGAUUUGGAAGGAUUAGUGUAUCAUUUCACUAAGGUUUUAUCAACAUCAAAAGGAAAAUCAAAGUACAUCGUCCUUAAGACUCUAACAUCAAGGAAAACAGCAAGGAAACUUCAUCAACGAAACAGUCCCCACCAGCACCAGUCCAAUCUCGCUCCGGAGCUUAGCCUGCACAUUUAGAAAUAUAUGCAGGGCGUGAGUAAUAAUACUCAGUGGGCAAAUGCCGGAAAAACAUCAAAGGCGCUCUUAGAGCUAUAUGUUUGAAGCUUGCCAUAACAUCAGCAAUACACAGAAAUAAGUUUAUCAUCAAUGAAAUCUGUGCAUGCAGUUUUAAACAUCAUAACAUCAUAAAGAAAUGACUGCAGUCAAAAUAUUCGUCAUGUAUGUACCACGUCUACAACAUUAUCAUUUUUAUCGAUACUGAGAAGUAGGCCUCCCUCUCAAGUACCGUGACUGGCCGACCCGAAGACGGCUCACAGUCACAUCUGUGCACAAAAUCCCGCUUGUGGCAGGACCGAAUUCGUCUCAUCAGUAGAGGGUAACACACAAACUUAUCAUCAAAAUUUUGGCAAGUCAAACAGUUCAUAAACAUCAUUUAUCUCAAAACAUCAAACAUCUUAUAAUCUCAUCAUCAUUUAAAACAGUUUAGAAAAGCUCUUAAACUGUAUACUCAAAAUAAUGCCCACCUGGAGUCCUUCGCUUAAGCUCGGAUAGGAACAGGGGACUUACUUCUUCGUCUUGCUCGGGUCUUCAUAAAUCAUCAACAUCAUCACGAAGGUUCAUGUGAUAAAACAACCUUAGUUAGUACUCAAUACUGAAAUCCAAUCUCGUUUCAUCGAUAACUUCUCACUUCAACGUCUAUUUACUCAGUAAAACUAAAUCCCUAGGCAUACUCGACUUCUAAGGAUUCUCACGUCUUACUCUCGACUUAACUCUCAACUCGGACCAUACUCAAAGCAAAAGCACAUCGGCAUGCACAAUCAUAUAAGCAUGCAACUUCACAUAACAUAUCACAACAAGCACAAGUUGACUCGGAGACCAGAGCAGAUAAAUGCUCGGUGGUCAAGUGGAAAACUCAGCAGAGCGGAGCGCAUUAGCUCAGUAAAACAGCGAAGAGGUGCUCGCCAGGACAGAAGAGUCAACUUGCCUGGCAGCGAAAACAGGAACUCUCUGGCAGAGCAGCGGAGAAAUGCCAGAGGAAUGGCAAACUCUCUGUCGCCAGAGGAAUCAAACGUCAGAGAAAUCGAUCGUACAGAGGAGUCGAUCGUCAGAGGACUCGAACGUCAGAGGACUCAAACGUCAGAGAAAUCAAACAUCAGAGGAAUCAGACGUCAGAGGAAUCAGACGUCAGAGAAAUCAAACAUCAGAGGAAUCACGAACUCUCUGCUAUGCCAGAGGAAUGGCGAACUCUCUGUCGCCAGAGGAAUGGCGAACUCUCUGUCGACAGAGGAAAGAACUCUCUGGCAUUACAGCGGGAAAAUGAAUUCUCUGGCAUGCCAGCGGGAAACGACUUCUCUGGCAUGCCAGCGGGAAAACGACUUCUCUGGCAUGCUGGCGGGGAAACGACUUCUCUGGCAUGCCAGCGGGAUCACAACUUGGCAGAGCAAAACUCAAGGCAGAACAAAGCGAACAAGAGUAACUCUAACUCCAUCGACUUUUCAUACCCAGAAAUCAUCAAACACUCUCAAACCUCAAAAAUACUUAUCACUCUACAUCAUGACUCAAGUCAAAAACUCAUUUAAACACUAAUUCAUCAACACACGUUAAUCUUUCAUAUAUUCAUGCUCAUCGUCAAAACAUCAUUCAAGACAUAACUUACAGAUUUUUCCCUAUUUCUUGUAUCAAACCAAAUUUUGUAAAAACUCAUGCUCAAGACUCAGUUUUGUAAAACAUAUCUUAAUCACUUCAAAUCAUCACGUAUAACAUACAUCUCAUCACAUAUAACUCAUUUCUCACCCCAGUUUUAAAGAAGAAAGAUUUUUAAAAGGGCAUGAACCCUAUUUUUCGAAAAUGAAGAAAAAGGCGGUGGGGAGUUUCUCAUUCUUCAAACAUCUUAAUACUCACAUAAAUCACACGCACAUAACUCACAGAAGUCUGGAUCCAAAAGAUUGAAACACUUACUCAAGAGGUUUCAAGAAAAAUGACGUCUCUUCUCUAUUCUUCAGCUUCAAACUCCACUAAACUUUUUGAAUCAAGAGUAGAAAGUGUUUAGGGACUAGAUUUAGUGGAGGAGUACACCAUAGAUACGUCUUUAAAAGCUUGAGCUUCGUCUCCAAUGGAGAAAAGAAAGAGCGGCGUAAGGGAGAGAGAAGAAGGUGAAGAGCCGAAAAUGAAAGUGACGGCAAGAGAGAGAAACUCUUAGGCUUUAAACAAGAUUCUUAUUCCUUAAGAUAAGAAGCAUUAAAUGCUUGAAUAGUAAUUUGUCUCCCCCUUAGCAGCAAGUCUCAUCCGCCGGUUAUCCCAUGUGGGAAAAGAGAUUAAAAUAAUGGUGGUGAGUGUAGGAAUGUGUGCGGUGGUAAUUCUAAUCAUAUGUGCUAAUUUUCGAAAAUCAUACUGACUCAAAAAUAUAAGUGCGCACGUAUCAUAUAAAUCACAUAACGUCAAACAAAUAACUUACAAAGUUAUCUAAAAAAAACGGAUCAUCACUCGUCAUUACUCUAAUCGUCACUCUAGAUUAAUCCUCUUUAGCGACUCUCAAUCACUUCCUCGACUCUAUUUGUCGUCUCUCAUCUCAACUCUAAAUCAAUUAUCAUCUCCAUCUUAUCUCUCACAUCGUUCUCAAUUCUAUCAACUUCUCUAACUCAACUCGUUUCUCAAAUCUCAUCACUCUAACUCCAUCAGUGGUUCGUCUACUCAUAACUCUAUUUAAAAGAAAAUCUGUCUUAUCUGGUCAUAAAACAAAAUAAUCUCGCAUCUCAACAUCUCAGUAUCCUCAGUAGUGUUAAAACACUAUCUCUCAACAUAAGGGCAAAG